UACGUAGGGUCCGAGCGUUUGUCCGGAAUUACUGGGCGUAAAGAGCUCGUAGGUGGUUUGUCGCGUUGUUCGUGAAAACUCACAGCUCAACUGUGGGCGUGCGGGCGAUACGGGCAGACUGGAGUACUGCAGGGGGAGACUGGAAUUCCUGGUGUAGCGGUGGAAUGCGCAGAUAUCAGGAGGAACACCGGUGGCGAAGGCGGGUCUCUGGGCAGUAACUGACGCUGAGGAGCGAAAGCGUGGGGAGCGAACAGG
rnacentral:rRNA from 1 species